UCUGCCCCAAGUUCAGAAGACAGGCAUGACAGUCAAAGAAGGCCAAGGCAGCUAAAGUUUGCAGGACAGGUAUUAGAGGAGAGGUGCAAAGAGUGAGAGCUCCACAGAUCUAUAAAGGGUACCCUUUAAGUUUUCGGCUGAGUAGAGCUCAGCACAGAGUAAACUACCCAAGGCCAGGGAAAGAACCACGAACAAAUUAGAGGGAACAAUACUCAGAGCUCAUGCAGGGCCAGGAAAAGUUCCUGUGCCCAUCAGUCAUUUGAAAAUCUCAUAAUUCAUAGGACAACAGGUAGCGUACUCAAAAGGGUUUUAUCUCAGUAGUGAAAAAAAAUUAGUCCAAGACUAAAGGCUACUUUGAUCCCACCUAACAAAGCUUAACGGCAAGACUGAAAAGGAUCAGGCUACUUCCAUAUAAUUUAACUGCAUCCCAGAACAAACCUCAAUAGUAUUUCAUAGUAAUACAAACUAUCUAGCAACCAAGAAGGUAAGAUUCACAAUGUCUGGCAUCCAACCUAAAAUUAAAUUACCAGGCACACAAAGAUACAGGAAAAUAUAAUCCAUGAUGAGGUGACACUUCAACCAACUCAGAUGACAGAAUUAGAAGGCAAAUAUAUUAAAACAGUGAAGGCAUAGUAAUAGAAGCCAGCCAAAACAAAACACAUCAAAGAUUGACAAACUAUUGGGUACUAUGCUCA
rnacentral:lncRNA from 1 species